UACGAAGGGCGCAAGCGUUAAUCGGAAUUACUGGGCGUAAAGCGUGCGCAGGCGGUUUUGUAAGUCUGUCGUGAAAGCCCCGGGCUCAACCUGGGAAUUGCGAUGGAGACUGCAAGGCUUGAAUCUGGCAGAGGGGGGUAGAAUUCCACGUGUAGCAGUGAAAUGCGUAGAGAUGUGGAGGAACACCGAUGGCGAAGGCAGCCCCCUGGGUCAAGAUUGACGCUCAUGCACGAAAGCGUGGGGAGCGAACAGG
rnacentral:rRNA from 1 species